rnacentral:rRNA from 1 species
CCUACGGGAGGCAGCAGUGAGGAAUAUUGGUCAAUGGACGAGAGUCUGAACCAGCCAAGUAGCGUGAAGGAUGACUGCCCUAUGGGUUGUAAACUUCUUUUAUAAAGGAAUAAAACGAGGCACGUGUGCCUUUUUGCAUGUACUUUAUGAAUAAGGAUCGGCUAACUCCGUGCCAGCAGCCGCGGUAAUACGGAGGAUCCGAGCGUUAUCCGGAUUUAUUGGGUUUAAAGGGAGCGUAGAUGGGGUGUUAAGUCAGUUGUGAAAGUUUGCGGCUCAACCGUAAAAUUGCAAUUGAUACUGGAAGUCUUGAGUACAUGUGAGGUAAGCGGAAUUCGUGGUGUAGCGGUGAAAUGCUUAGAUAUCACGAAGAACCCCGAUUGCGAAGGCAGCUUACUAAACUGUGACUGACAUUGAUGCUCGAAAGUGUGGGUAUCAAACAGGAUUAGAUACCCGAGUAGUC